CCCUGCCCUGGGAGCAGAGUGGUAGCAACUGGAGCCAGAGAGGCCAGAGAAGCAGUCCAGGGAGCUGAAGUCAGAGCAGCAGCAGCCGCCGUGCUGAGGCAGAGUGGAGCUGGAGUUGGAGCAGGGGCAGUCUGGAGCUGAGUGCGGUGUGAUGGAGAGUAAGCUGAAGAGAAGAAUCCUUUUCCAGGAAGUUAGACUGAAAGUGGAGCCUGAGUAGGGGUCACAGAGCAGCUGCUGCCACAGAAUGCCUGAGCCAAAUAAGGAGGAGAAACAAGAGGACUUGGGAUGACAUCAUAGGCGCCGACUCCUUGGGUGCUCUGGGGCUGGAGCACCCAUGGGGAAAAAUUAGUAGGUGCUCGCAGCCAAGCUCCUCCCGCCUCGCCUCCUCCACCCCUCCCAAGCAAGCACCCACCGGGCAGAGGGGAAGUCGACACCUAUGGAUGACAUGUUAAGUGAGAUCAUGUAAACCAAUGCUGCAUCAUAUCAUGAACAGAGGCCUGGAGGAUGAAUAUUGCCUGGAGAAAGAAAGAGCCAACAGCACACAGGCUCAGGAAUCCCAGCAGGAAAAGAAGAGGGAGAUGCACCAGGAUGUAAAGGCAGCAAACACAGAUACUGCAGAUUCUUGUGGGCACAGAGGUUCAACAAUCGUGGGUUAAGGUUUGCCUCCUUUUGCAGUCCAUGGAGAACUUCAGUAUAGCACCUCCCUACAUGCCUCCCCCAACAUUCCACAUGGUGUCAGGACUGCAUCCCUACCCCUAUCACUCCACACUCAUGGACACUAUGGACAACCACAGCUUCACAUACACUGACAUGUGAGAACUACAAUUGAUAUGUGUAGCUAAAAUGGGUAUGAAUGUUCCUUCCCUUUCUUUAAGCUCUGUUCCAUAAAUGUAUUAAGGUUUUAACAUAUUUUCUUUUAACUUGCUGAGAAUUUUUGAAGUGUUUUCAUUAGUCAA